ACAGGAUCUCUUCCCCACCCACCCAAAUGACGCCCUCGAAAACCACGACUUCCUGGAAAAGUCUUCACCGUAAAUAUUAAUCUCUUUGGCAUGAAGAGGAAAACACUGCAGCUAAUUUUUCAUGGGAUAACAAAAAUAUAAACUGCAAUUUCUUUUAUUUUUUCCCUUUCGAUGGUCUUUUUAAACGAGGAGUAAAGAUUUCAACGCCAGGUCCAUUUUCCAAAUUUUGUACCAGAACCUUGAGGAUGCUUGUCUCUCGCGCGCUUCUCCGCAGACCGAACCCUCUCCGGAACUCAGAGCUGUUCACCCAAGUCAGCGGAGGAGGCCUCCUGGGACUUGAGCCUGAGGGUGGCGAAGAACCCUAGGCAGAGAUCAUCAACUUGGUACCGAUGAGUGACGCGGAGCUUGAACAUUCCAGCGACUUGCUCCAGGGCCACUCCCAGUUAAGAGGCUGAGUGUUAACUGCAAGAGGCUGAGUGUUAACUACGCCGUUGGCUCCAGGAACCGAACCGGGUUUGGAUACAGACCCAGUCACACCAUCCAUGAAAAGCUGUUUCUAUAAUAUGAAAAAUUGUUAAAUGACGCUUUAGUAAAAGCCAUUUAAAGAUCUUUUCUAAUAAAUUUUUCAUCUUUCCAAACAA
rnacentral:lncRNA from 1 species